rnacentral:rRNA from 1 species
CCUACGGGGAGCAGCAGUGGGGAAUAUUGGACAAUGGGCGAAAGCCUGAUCCAGCCAUGCCGCGUGUGUGAAGAAGGCCUUCGGGUUGUAAAGCACUUUCAGUGGGGAAGAAAGCCUUGGGGCUAAUACCCUCGAGGAAGGACAUCACCCACAGAAGAAGCACCGGCUAACUCCGUGCCAGCAGCCGCGGUAAUACGGAGGGUGCGAGCGUUAAUCGGAAUUACUGGGCGUAAAGCGCGCGUAGGCGGUCUGAUAAGCCGGUUGUGAAAGCCCCGGGCUCAACCUGGGAACGGCAUCCGGAACGGUCAGGCUAGAGUGCAGGAGAGGAAGGUAGAAUUCCCGGUGUAGCGGUGAAAUGCGUAGAGAUCGGGAGGAAUACCAGUGGCGAAGGCGGCCUUCUGGACUGACACUGACGCUGAGGUGCGAAAGCGUGGGUAGCAAACAGGAUUAGAUACCCGAGUAGUC